UUGGGUGUGGUGUAUGGCGCACCUCUGCUUCACUUAAGUGCUUUGAGUACAGGCGCCUUUGCAGCAGGCGAUCCGGGUUCGAAUCCCGGCGCCCGAA